AUCAGCAGUGAAAGUGAAAAGAGCAGUCCAGAAAACAUCCGAUUUAAUAGUGUUGGGUCUCCCAUGGAAAACAACCGAACAGGACCUGAAAGAGUAUUUUAGUACCUUUGGAGAAGUUCUUAUGGUGCAGGUCAAGAAAGAUCUUAAGACUGGUCAUUCAAAGGGGUUUGGCUUUGUUCGUUUUACGGAAUAUGAAACACAAGUGAAAGUAAUGUCACAGCGACAUAUGAUAGAUGGACGAUGGUGUGACUGCAAACUUCCUAAUUCUAAGGUACUUGCGUCUGUGCUUUGGGAAUUUUUGCCAACAAACUUCCUUAGAGGAUUGUAAGAUAAAAUGUUAAACACACUUAGAAAAGAUAGCGGCAGGGUGUGUUCAUGAAAUCCUUUUGUCUUGUUGAAGUCUUUGGCCCUUAGUGCAUGCUGAAUAUUUUAUGCUUGUUUGAAAUAUUUAGUUUAUUACUUCUCCAAACUAAACCUUUGUUCAUUUUGUUCUUCCUUUUCGCUAUGGAUGGAAAAGAGAAAAGGUUAUUUGUCAAGUUAAUAGUUUCUUACAUAGUUAUAUGUUAAAACAUAAAGAGAAUCAG
rnacentral:lncRNA from 1 species